rnacentral:rRNA from 1 species
UACGUAGGUGGCAAGCGUUGUCCGGAUUUACUGGGCGUAAAGGGCGUGCAGGCGGUUUGUUAAGUGCAGGGUGAAAGCUCCCGGCUCAACUGGGAGAGGUCCUUGCAUACUGGCGAACUUGAGGGAUGCAGAGGAAAGUGGAAUUCCCGGUGUAGUGGUGAUAUGCGUAGAUAUCGGGAGGAACACCAGUGGCGAAGGCGGCUUUCUGGGCAUUUCCUGACGCUGAGACGCGAAAGCGUGGGGAGCGAACCGG